rnacentral:rRNA from 1 species
ACCUANNUAAUAGGUAUGCUUUAGGAGGGGCUUGCGCCAUAUUAGUUAGUUGGUAGGGUAAUGGCCUACCAAGACGAUGAUGUGUAGCUGGACUGAGAGGUUGAACAGCCACAUUGGGACUGAGACACGGCCCAAACUCCUACGGGAGGCAGCAGUAGGGAAUUUUCGGCAAUGGAGGAAACUCUGACCGAGCAACGCCGCGUGAAUGACGAAGUACUUCGGUAUGUAAAGUUCUUUUAUCAAGGAAGAAAAGCAAAUGGCGAACCAUUUGUUUGCCGGUACUUGAUGAAUAAGCCCCGGCUAAUUAUGUGCCAGCAGCCGCGGUAAGACAUAAGGGGCAAGUGUUAUCCGGAAUUAUUGGGCGUAAAGGGUGCGUAGGCGGUCUAGUAAGUCAGUGGUGUAAUGGCAACGCUUAACGUUGUCCGGCUAUUGAAACUGCUAAACUUGAGUUAGAUAGAGGCGAGUGGAAUUCCAUGUGUAGCGGUAAAAUGCGUAAAUAUAUGGAGGAACACCAGAGGCGUAGGCGGCUCGCUGGGUCUUAACUGACGCUGAGGCACGAAAGCGUGGGGAGCAAACAGGAUUAGAUACCCUGGUAGUCCACGCCGUAAACGAUGAGUACUAAGUGUCGGGUUAAACCGGUACUGAAAUUAACACAUUAAGUACUCCGCCUGAGUAGUACGUACGCAAGUAUGAAACUUUAAAGGAAUUGACGGGACUCCGCACAAGCGGUGGAUCAUGUUGUUUAAUUCGAAGAUACCCGAAAAACCUUACCAGGUCUUGACAUGUUUUUGCAAAAUGAUAGUAAUAUCGUGGAGGUUACCAGAAACACAGGUGGUGCAUGGUUGUCGUCAGCUCGUGUCGUGAGAUGUUAGGUUAAGUCCUAAAACGAGCGAAACCCUUAUCGUUAGUUGCCAGCACGUUAUGGUGGGGACUUUAACGAGACUGCCAAUGAUAAAUUGGAGGAAGGUGAGGAUCACGUCAAAUCAGCAUGCCCCUUAUGACCUGGGCUACAAACGUGAUACAAUGGCUGUUACAAAGGGUAGCUGAAACGCAAGUUCUUGGCCAAUCCCCAAAAACAGUCCCAGUCCGGAUUGAAGUCUGCAACUCGACUUCAUGAAGUUGGAAUCGCUAGUAAUCGCGAAUC